GACAGAGGUGCCGAGCGUUAGGCGGAAUCACUGGGCUUAAAGCGUGUGUAGGCGGAUGCCUAAGUACCUUGUGAAAUCCCACGGCUCAACCGUGGAACUGCUGGGUAUACUGGGCGUCUUGGGCCAUUCAGGGGCGACUGGAACAAGCGGUGGAGCGGUGAAAUGCGUAGAUAUCGCUUGGAACGCCGAAGGUGAAAACAGGUCGCUGGGGAUGUGCCGACGCUGAGACACGAAAGCCAGGGGAGCAAACGGGG
rnacentral:rRNA from 1 species